rnacentral:rRNA from 1 species
AAUAGAUACCCUGGUAGUCCACGCCGUAAACGAUGAGUGCUAAGUGUUAGGGGGUUUCCGCCCCUUAGUGCUGCAGCUAACGCAUUAAGCACUCCGCCUGGGGAGUACGGUCGCAAGACUGAAACUCAAAGGAAUUGACGGGGGCCCGCACAAGCGGUGGAGCAUGUGGUUUAAUUCGAAGCAACGCGAAGAACCUUACCAGGUCUUGACAUCCCAUUGACCGCUAUGGAGACAUAGCUUUCCCUUCGGGGACAGUGGUGACAGGUGGUGCAUGGUUGUCGUCAGCUCGUGUCGUGAGAUGUUGGGUUAAGUCCCGCAACGAGCGCAACCCUUGUUCUUAGUUGCCAUCAUUUAGUUGGGCACUCUAAGGAGACUGCCGGUGACAAACCGGAGGAAGGUGGGGAUGACGUCAAAUCAUCAUGCCCCUUAUGACCUGGGCUACACACGUGCUACAAUGGACGGUACAAACGGUUGCCAACCCGCGAGGGGAGCUAAUCCGAUAAAACCGUUCUCAGUUCGGAUUGUAGGCUGCAACUCGCCUACA